rnacentral:rRNA from 1 species
AUGAUACAUCAUCUUUUGUUGAGUGUUGACGCCAUUGGUAUAUAUUUCAUAUCAUCUUGUUACGAAGAAGAGCAUGGAGCGGCAACGGUCCUAGCAGGAGCAGGGCAGCCACGACUUCUCCUUACAGCAACUUUCAGAAACAAAGGGAAGAUAUCCUAUAAAGCUAGGAGAAAAUAUUUGUGGUCAGGGACUACCAAAAAGCACUGGCGUGUACUGGUUCACAAGGUUGAAUACGUGGCAUCUACUUUGAUUCCAGUAUAUGCCUCUCUUUCUUUCUAUCAUUUAUUGUUGCUUUGUUUCAACUUUCUUCUGUAG